CAUCGACCCUGGAAAUCGCCGUUUCCAUUCUCGAACUGCUAGUUUCACUACUAAUUUCGCUGCCAUGGACCGAUUCCUUGCUGAAGCAACUAUGUUGAUCACUUGCUUGUUUGUCAACACAUCCCAUAUCUGCAAUUUCGUGGAAACUUGAGGGGUUGAGAUGAGACCGUAAUCCUUAAGGCAAAAGUCUCCCAAAGAUCUUGACAUGGCUAGACCUGGGUAAUCUGCAUCUGGUACCCAUACUCUGUAUAUAUCUGGUUCUUCUUUUUCUGCUAUGAUUCUGCCUUGGCAAUUCUUUAUUCUUUCUGCUUCGCCUGAUUCACAUUGAAAACAUAAGAAUGAAGAUGAUGGGUUGAUAGAUAGAUUGAAUGAAUAGAUAUCUAAAGCCAAGCUAUAGCUUAAUCUCCUCAAUGGAUGAACUAAAAUUUUCUUGCUAAAUUGUUCAUUCCUUUGUUGCUAUCAAUUGUGUUAUCUCAAAUCGAUAAGAUAGAGUUGAUUGAUGCGUGGAAUAAACAAUACCCACAUGGAAUAUUUGGUUUGU